AACGAACGCUGGCGGCGUGGAUAAGACAUGCAAGUCGAACGGGACAAGUAGCAAUAUUUGUCUAGUGGCGAACGGGUGCGUAACACGUGGGCAACAUGCCUGGAAGAGCGGGAUAGCCCGGGGAAACUCGGAUUAAUACCGCAUGUGACAACGGGGCGGAUUCGCCCUGUUUUCAAAGGUGGGGACCGCAAGGCCUGCCGCUUCCAGAUUGGCCCGCGUCCUAUCAGCUAGUUGGCGGGGUAACGGCCCACCAAGGCGACGACGGGUAGCUGGUCUGAGAGGACGACCAGCCACACUGGAACUGAGACACGGUCCAGACACCUACGGGUGGCAGCAGUCGAGAAUCUUUCACAAUGGGGGAAACCCUGAUGGAGCGACGCCGCGUGGAGGAUGACGGUCUUCGGAUUGUAAACUCCUGUCAUGAAAGAACAAGCGGAGCGGGUGAACAACCCGCCGAGUUGAUAGUAUUUCAAGAGGAAGGGACGGCUAACUUCGUGCCAGCCGCCGCAGUAACAC
rnacentral:rRNA from 1 species